GAUGAAGGAAGUGCUGAAGAGGAGACCAAAAAGAGGAAAAGGGAGUUUUCUGACCUCUUCAAGAAGCAGAUGAAUCUGCGGAAGGCCACUGAUGGCCCGAGGGAGGACUUUGUUCCACCAGAUGCUGACUGCCCGCUCAGAGAGGCCAGCAGCCAGAAGAUCCCCCGGCUCACUGUGAAGACUAGAGAGCAUUGCUUGUACCGCCUGCGAGAUGCUCUGUGUGGCCAGCAGGGGGCAGAAGACACAUUUAGAU